rnacentral:rRNA from 1 species
UACGAAGGGUGCAAGCGUUACUCGGAAUUACUGGGCGUAAAGGGUGCGUAGGUGGUUGUUUAAGUCUGUUGUGAAAGCCCCGGGCUCAACCUGGGAAUGGCAAUGGAUACUGGACAGCUCGAGUGCGGUAGAGGGUAGUGGAAUUCCCGGUGUAGCAGUGAAAUGCGUAGAGAUCGGGAGGAACACCAGUGGCGAAGGCGGCUACCUGGACCAGCACUGACACUGAAGCACGAAAGCGUGGGGAGCAAACAGG